rnacentral:lncRNA from 1 species
GAAUAGUAUUUUCGUCAGGGCAGUUAAAGCUUCUUAAAGCAGUGGCUAAAGACUAAAGACAUUUUAAAUAAUGGCUUAAAAAUAAAUACAUAUGUUAUUAGUGGCUAACUGUGUACUUUCCCCUUAAUUAUACAACACCAUAAGGACCUAAAAAGAAGAUGAUGAAGAAGAAGUAGUCACAUGAAUAAAAAUAAGAAGAAGUAAAUAUUUGUACAGAAAAAUAAAAAUUUUAUUAAAAAAAACUCUUGAGUUCAAUACCGAUGAAGUUGCUGACCAUCGCCUUUAAUGGUAGAGAACAUCAGUAGAUGUAGCACAUAGAGGUCACCGGAGCAGUAGUAGAAUGGCUGAGUGAAGAUGAUAGAGCAAAAGAGAAUAUGAAAUGAGGUCUGCGUACACACUAUACUCCACAGACCCUAUUAAAUAAAAUUAUACUGGGUUGUUGUUGUUUGAUAAAAUUAAAGAAAAAAAGAGAGGAUAUGAACGAAAGUGGUAUUGGGAAGAAAAAUCGGUGCAUUUGAUAGAACGAAAGAAAGAGAAAGAAGGUGAAAAUGAAGGUG